rnacentral:rRNA from 3 species
CAGCAAUGCAUGGAGCUGACCAGUACUAAUCGGUCGAGGGCUUAUCCA